rnacentral:rRNA from 1 species
UACGUAGGGGGCAAGCGUUGUUCGGAAUUACUGGGCGUAAAGGGCUCGUAGGCGGCCAACUAAGUCAGACGUGAAAUCCCUCGGCUUAACCGGGGAACUGCGUCUGAUACUGGAUGGCUUGAGGGUAGGAGAGGGAUGCGGAAUUCCAGGUGUAGCGGUGAAAUGCGUAGAUAUCUGGAGGAACACCAGUGGCGAAAGCGGCUUCCUGGUCCAGCACCGACGUUCAGGCACGAAAGCGUGGGGAGCAAACAGG